AUUUAGAUAGCUUAUAUAGAGUAUAGCUUUGAAGUUGCUAGGGAAAUAUUAAAUAUUUUUAAAUA
rnacentral:tRNA from 1 species